GUUGAAGGUUGGGUAACACUAACUGGAGGACCGAACCGACUAAUGUUGAAAAAUUAGCGGAUGACCUGUGGCUGGGGGUGAAAGGCCAAUCAAACCGGGAGAUAGCUGGUUCUCCCCGAAAGCUAUUUAGGUAGCGCCUCGUGAAUUCAUCUCCGGGGGUAGAGCACUGUUUCGGCUAGGGGGCCAUCCCGGCUUACCAACCCGAUGCAAACUGCGAAUACCGGAGAAUGUUAUCACGGGAGACACACGGCGGGUGCUAACGUCCGUCGUGAAGAGGGAAACAACCCAGACCGCCAGCUAAGGUCCCAAAGUCAUGGUUAAGUGGGAAACGAUGUGGGAAGGCCCAGACAGCCAGGAUGUUGGCUUAGAAGCAGCCAUCAUUUAAAGAAAGCGUAAUAGCUCACUGGUCGAGUCGGCCUGCGCGGAAGAUGUAACGGGGCUAAACCAUGCACCGAAGCUGCGGCAGCGAACGUAUCACCCAAGACAACUUUACGGAGUUGACGAUUGACGGAGCGAAGCGACGUCAAAGCGUUCAUUAAAGUCGAGUUGGCUUAGGGAUACGUUCGUUGGGUAGGGGAGCGUUCUGUAAGCCUGUGAAGGUGUGUCGUGAGGCAUGCUGGAGGUAUCAGAAGUGCGAAUGCUGACAUAAGUAACGAUAAAGCGGGUG
rnacentral:rRNA from 1 species